rnacentral:rRNA from 1 species
UACGUAGGGUGCGAGCGUUGUCCGGAAUUAUUGGGCGUAAAGAGCUCGUAGGCGGUGUGUCGCGUCGGCCGUGAAAACCUGCAGCUUAACUGUGGGCUUGCGGUCGAUACGGGCAUCACUGGAGUUCGGCAGGGGAGACUGGAAUUCCUGGUGUAGCGGUGAAAUGCGCAGAUAUCAGGAGGAACACCGGUGGCGAAGGCGGGUCUCUGGGCAAUUCCUGACGCUGAGGCGCGAAAGCGUGGGGAGCAAACGGG